rnacentral:rRNA from 1 species
UACGUAGGGGGCAAGCGUUAUCCGGAUUUACUGGGUGUAAAGGGAGCGUAGACGGCAUAGCAAGUCUGAAGUGAAGGCCCGUGGCUCAACCGCGGAACUGCUUUGGAAACUGUUAAGCUGGAGUACUGGAGAGGCAAGCGGAAUUCCUAGUGUAGCGGUGAAAUGCGUAGAUAUUAGGAGGAACACCAGUGGCGAAGGCGGCUUGCUGGACAGAGACUGACGUUGAGGCUCGAAAGCGUGGGGAGCAAACAGG